UGAGGAAUAUUGGUCAAUGGGCGAGAGCCUGAACCAGCCAUCCCGCGUGGAGGAAGACGGCGCUAAGCGUUGUAAACUUCUUUUCAAGGGGAAGAAUUGUCCCGACGCGUCGGGUCUUGCCGGUACCCUUGGAACAAGCAUCGGCUAACUCCGUGCCAGCAGCCGCGGUAAUACGGAGGAUGCGAGCGUUAUCCGGAUUUAUUGGGUUUAAAGGGUGCGUAGGCGGGUCGAUAAGUCAGCGGUGAAAACCCAUGGCUCAACCAUGGAAUUGCCGUUGAAACUGUCGGUCUUGAAUAUGGUCAGGGUAGGCGGAAUGCGUAAUGUAGCGGUGAAAUGCUUAGAUAUUACGCAGAACACCGAUCGCGAAGGCAGCUUGCUGGGCCAGUAUUGACGCUGAGGCACGAAAGCGUGGGUAGCGAACAGG
rnacentral:rRNA from 1 species